UUUCGUCUUUCAAUCUCUCUUUCUCUUCUUCAUUUUCUUUUCUGAGUUUCAAAGGCAACACUCACUGCUUCAGUUCUCUCUUUGCUUUACCAUCAGGUAAUAUUUUUAAGCUAAUGUUUCAUUUUAUUUCCGGCAUUAUACACUGUUUUACACGAUUCUAUUGCUUUGACUAUCACAAAAUGAUUCCUCUCUGCUUCACCUCUUUGUCCUGUUCAAGCUCCAUCAUCAACAUCAGGUUAGACCUUCUUCUAAAUUAUUUAGUUUCAGGGUAAAUAUUCAAAGUUGUUUCCUUUUCCUUCAUAUUCUGCUUCCAUGGUUGUUCAAUUUGCUGGAAAAAAAAUUCGGUUUUUCCAUAUUUUUCUUCAUAUUAUGGUUUCAUGGGGGUUAAAUGUUGCUUAAGACUAAUUUUUCUUUUCGUUUUAAUGGUUGUUGACCAUAGUUAUACAAUGAGAGAGCAAAAAAUUACAACUUUUCAUGUUUUAAUGAUUUUCGGGUUUUCCCCGUUUUUCUUCAUCUCGUGCUUUCAUGGUUGUUUAAUGUUGUUUGAGACCGUGCUUUCAUUGGAAAGUGAUUUGAUUUAAUAACUAUUUGUAGGUGAACUCCAUUGGAAAACUGUAUCAGUUUAUAUUUGUAAAUAUUCUGAUCAGGUCAGUUUAGUUGAUAUAAUUUGAAGUAGUAAAGAUUUGUGUAUUGACUUUGACGUUUUUGAAGCCACAACUUCUUAUGAGCUAUGAUUGUCAUGCAUUUUCUUGCCUUAAUUUUCUGUUGUAAUACAGAUUUAUGACAAAUCUAUGGGCAAGUGAUUUGUACUGGUUGUAGAAUUUGGACAAACAUGCUACUGUUUCUUAUACUCCACAAAAUAG
rnacentral:lncRNA from 1 species